GAAUAAGAUGUCCACUCCCUUCCUGCUCCUCUGUUUUUUCUAGGUACACUGGUCUAUACGAUCAUAUUGAGUUUUAUCACAAGACUACAAUUGAAGAUUUUGAAUUGUGGAAAGCGGACAUAGAGCGGAAGCAGUUUUCGCAUUAUGUAAAAUGCAAUUCAGGAUACAAAUC